rnacentral:rRNA from 1 species
UACGUAGGCGGCAAGCGUUGUCCGGAUUUAUUGGGUUUAAAGGGUGCGUAGGCGGUUCUAUAAGUCAGUGGUGAAAUACGGCAGCUCAACUGUCGAGGUGCCAUUGAUACUGUGGAACUUGAGUACAGACGAGGUAGGCGGAAUUGACGGUGUAGCGGUGAAAUGCUUAGAUAUCGUCAAGAACACCGAUAGCGAAGGCAGCUUACUAGACUGUAACUGACGCUGAGGCACGAAAGUGUGGGGAUCAAACAGG